UACGGAGGGGGCUAGCGUUGUUCGGAAUUACUGGGCGUAAAGGGCGCGUAGGCGGCCUGCUAAGUCGAACGUGAAAUCCCCGGGCUCAACCCGGGAACUGCGUUCGAUACUGGUUAGCUUGAAUUCGGGAGAGGGAUGCGGAAUUCCAGGUGUAGCGGUGAAAUGCGUAGAUAUCUGGAGGAACACCGGUGGCGAAGGCGGCAUCCUGGACCGGCAUUGACGCUGAGGCGCGAAAGCCAGGGGAGCAAACGGG
rnacentral:rRNA from 1 species